GCCCCGCCCACCUGGCGCCGGCACCACGCCCACUGCGCAGGCCACGCCCACAGGACCCGCCCUUCCCUGUGCCUGAGGUGGGGGCGGAGCCUGCGGCCGAGGACAAGCGGAAGGGGCGGGGCGAGCGGCUCAAGCGCUGCAUCCGGACAGCGGCCGGCAGCAGCUGGGAGGAUCCCAGUCUGCUCGAGUGGGACGCCGACGAUUUCCGCAUUUUCUGUGGGGAUUUGGGGAACGAGGUGAACGAUGAGACUUUGGGCCCCGCCUU